CAGCAGCGUUAUCCCGGGUCCGCCUGCCUGAGCGCUGUCUGCCCGUCAGCCGCGCUCCCCGCCCGCCCGACUCCACCGCAGCUCUGCGCUCCGCUCCUGCAGCAGACCCUGCUGGCUCUGUGAGAGCUGGGCUUUCGGCUUUCUGACACUUUUAAAAAGGAUUUUUAUUUGCAGGUAAUACAUGGACUUUACCAUCACCUAAACUUUAAAGAAUGUUGCAGUGGAUGAAUGUCUGAAGUCUCCCAGACAUCACUGUGCAGACACACUGUGGCGUAUCUCUUCACAGGAAUAUAGUGCAGUCAUAUUCAGCUUCUGGUUUUUGCUUUCAGUCUUAUUCUCAGUAAGUGAAAUGCAUGCUCAGGGACCACACACAUCCAGUCAAUAACAUUCUGCUCCUAUGUGUUCAGUAGUAUUUUUGUAGUUAUUGUUAUUUGGUUUAGUGCUUCUGAAAGUGCGUCUGGACUCGCAAAUUCAUCCUGUGAUGAGUGAAGAAAAGGGAAGCGCCAUUGACCGAUCAUAAGUACGCUGUUUUAUGCAUUUAAUGCAUUCCUCAUUGCAUUUUUCUGAUAAAGGGUUAUAGUUUCUAUAGCUAUAGUUUUAUUAUAGUCUAUAAGAUGUGUACGUCUACGAUGCUAUUACUG
rnacentral:lncRNA from 1 species